AUGGCCCUGCGGGUCGAGGCUGACCCCCAACGGCGCUGGCGCUGCGUCAAGCCGGCGCGUGCUUCUGCUCGCGGGACAACGUGGUUAAGCGGCGACGAGAUGCUCGUCCAUCUCCUCCUCACGGACCAAAUCGUCGAGGAUUCCUCAUCCAUCGACGCGCCCAAGCCAACCUCUGUCUUCCUCCCCGACGGCGGCGUCGAACCAACACUGGGUUAUGCUACCCUUGGCCGUGGCCUAACACGUGCGGACUGA
rnacentral:rRNA from 1 species